rnacentral:rRNA from 1 species
UACGGAGGGUGCAAGCGUUGUUCGGAAUCACUGGGCGUAAAGGGCGUGUAGGCGGUCCGCUAAGUCUGAUGUGAAAGCCCGGGGCUCACCCCCGGAAGGGCAUUGGAAACUGGCGGACUCGAGUCUCGGAGAGGAAGGUGGAAUUCCUGGUGUAGCGGUGAAAUGCGUAGAUAUCUGGAGGAAUACCGGUGGCGAAGGCGGCAUCCUGGACCGGCAUUGACGCUGAGGAGCGAAAGCCAGGGGAGCAAACGGG